rnacentral:rRNA from 1 species
AGAGCACAGGGAUUGCCCUAGUAACGGCGAGUGAAGCGGCAACAGCUCAAAUUUGAAAUCUGGCCCUCGUGGUCCGAAUUGUAAUUUGUAGAGGAUGCUUUUGGUGCGGUGCCUUCCGAGUUCCCUGGAACGGGACGCCAGAGAGGGUGAGAGCCCCGUACGGUUGGCCACCUACCCUAUAUAUAGCUCCUUCGACGAGUCGGGUAGUUUGGGAAUGCUGCUCUAAAUGGGAGGUAAAUUUCUUCUAAAGCUAAAUACCGGCCAGAGACCGAUAGCGCACAAGUAGAGUGAUCGAAAGAUGAAAAGCACUUUGAAAAGAGGGUUAAAUAGCACGUGAAAUUGUUGAAAGGGAAGCGUUUACGACCAGACCUUUUCCAGGCGGAUCAUCCGGUGUUCUUCACCGGUGCACUUCGCCUGGUUUAGGCCAGCAUCGGUUUUCGUAGGGGGAGAAAGGCCUGGGGAACGUAUCUCCCUCGGGAGUGUUAUAGCCCCUAGCGUAAUACCCUUACGGGGACCGAGGACCGCGCUUCGGCAAGGAUGCUGGCAUAAUGGUCGUCAACGACCCGUCUUGAAACACGGACCAAGGAGUCGAACAUUUGUGCGAGUGUUUGGGUAUUAAACCCUCACGCGUAAUGAAAGUGAACGGAGGUGAGAGCCCUUCGGGGUGCAUCAUCGACCGAUCCUGAUGUCUUCGGAUGGAUUUGAGUAAGAGCAUAACUGUUCGGACCCGAAAGAUGGUGAACUAUGCGUGGAUAGGGUGAAGCCAGAGGAAACUCUGGUGGAGGCUCGCAGCGGUUCUGACGUGCAAAUCGAUCGUCAAAUCUGCGCAUGGGGGCGAAAGUAUGUAUACACCUUUUUUUAAAGUUACUCGGGAGCUACCCUGGAGUUACCCUGGAGAAGUUCUUUUG